UUAAGCGACUAAGCGUACACGGUGGAUGCCCUGGCAGUCAGAGGCGAUGAAGGACGUGCUAAUCUGCGAUAAGCGUCGGUAAGGUGAUAUGAACCGUUAUAACCGGCGAUUUCCGAAUGGGGAAACCCAGUGUGAUUCGUCACACUAUCAUUAACUGAAUCCAUAGGUUAAUGAGGCGAACCGGGGGAACUGAAACAUCUAAGUACCCCGAGGAAAAGAAAUCAACCGAGAUUCCCCCAGUAGCGGCGAGCGAACGGGGAGGAGCCCAGAGCCUGAAUCAGUGUGUGUGUUAGUGGAAGCGUCUGGAAAGGCGUGCGAUACAGGGUGACAGCCCCGUACACAAAAAUGCACAUACUGUGAGCUCGAUGAGUAGGGCGGGACACGUGGUAUCCUGUCUGAAUAUGGGGGGACCAUCCUCCAAGGCUAAAUACUCCUGACUGACCGAUAGUGAACCAGUACCGUGAGGGAAAGGCGAAAAGAACCCCGGCGAGGGGAGUGAAAAAGAACCUGAAACCGUGUACGUACAAGCAGUGGGAGCCUCUUAAUGGGGUGACUGCGUACCUUUUGUAUAAUGGGUCAGCGACUUAUAUUCUGUAGCAAGGUUAACCGAAUAGGGGAGCCGAAGGGAAACCGAGUCUUAACUGGGCGUUAAGUUGCAGGGUAUAGACCCGAAACCCGGUGAUCUAGCCAUGGGCAGGUUGAAGGUUGGGUAACACUAACUGGAGGACCGAACCGACUAAUGUUGAAAAAUUAGCGGAUGACUUGUGGCUGGGGGUGAAAGGCCAAUCAAACCGGGAGAUAGCUGGUUCUCCCCGAAAGCUAUUUAGGUAGCGCCUCGUGAAUUCAUCUCCGGGGGUAGAGCACUGUUUCGGCAAGGGGGUCAUCCCGACUUACCAACCCGAUGCAAACUGCGAAUACCGGAGAAUGUUAUCACGGGAGACACACGGCGGGUGCUAACGUCCGUCGUGAAGAGGGAAACAACCCAGACCGCCAGCUAAGGUCCCAAAGUCAUGGUUAAGUGGGAAACGAUGUGGGAAGGCCCAGACAGCCAGGAUGUUGGCUUAGAAGCAGCCAUCAUUUAAAGAAAGCGUAAUAGCUCACUGGUCGAGUCGGCCUGCGCGGAAGAUGUAACGGGGCUAAACCAUGCACCGAAGCUGCGGCAGCGACACUAUGUGUUGUUGGGUAGGGGAGCGUUCUGUAAGCCUGUGAAGGUGUACUGUGAGGUAUGCUGGAGGUAUCAGAAGUGCGAAUGCUGACAUAAGUAACGAUAAAGCGGGUGAAAAGCCCGCUCGCCGGAAGACCAAGGGUUCCUGUCCAACGUUAAUCGGGGCAGGGUGAGUCGACCCCUAAGGCGAGGCCGAAAGGCGUAGUCGAUGGGAAACAGGUUAAUAUUCCUGUACUUGGUGUUACUGCGAAGGGGGGACGGAGAAGGCUAUGUUGGCCGGGCGACGGUUGUCCCGGUUUAAGCGUGUAGGCUGGUUUUCCAGGCAAAUCCGGAAAAUCAAGGCUGAGGCGUGAUGACGAGGCACUACGGUGCUGAAGCAACAAAUGCCCUGCUUCCAGGAAAAGCCUCUAAGCAUCAGGUAACAUCAAAUCGUACCCCAAACCGACACAGGUGGUCAGGUAGAGAAUACCAAGGCGCUUGAGAGAACUCGGGUGAAGGAACUAGGCAAAAUGGUGCCGUAACUUCGGGAGAAGGCACGCUGAUAUGUAGGUGAAGUCCCUCGCGGAUGGAGCUGAAAUCAGUCGAAGAUACCAGCUGGCUGCAACUGUUUAUUAAAAACACAGCACUGUGCAAACACGAAAGUGGACGUAUACGGUGUGACGCCUGCCCGGUGCCGGAAGGUUAAUUGAUGGGGUUAGCGGUAACGCGAAGCUCUUGAUCGAAGCCCCGGUAAACGGCGGCCGUAACUAUAACGGUCCUAAGGUAGCGAAAUUCCUUGUCGGGUAAGUUCCGACCUGCACGAAUGGCGUAAUGAUGGCCAGGCUGUCUCCACCCGAGACUCAGUGAAAUUGAACUCGCUGUGAAGAUGCAGUGUACCCGCGGCAAGACGGAAAGACCCCGUGAACCUUUACUAUAGCUUGACACUGAACAUUGAGCCUUGAUGUGUAGGAUAGGUGGGAGGCUUUGAAGUGUGGACGCCAGUCUGCAUGGAGCCGGCCUUGAAAUACCACCCUUUAAUGUUUGAUGUUCUAACGUUGGCCCCUGACCGGGGUUGCGGACAGUGUCUGGUGGGUAGUUUGACUGGGGCGGUCUCCUCCUAAAGAGUAACGGAGGAGCACGAAGGUUGGCUAAUCCUGGUCGGACAUCAGGAGGUUAGUGCAAUGGCAUAAGCCAGCUUGACUGCGAGCGUGACGGCGCGAGCAGGUGCGAAAGCAGGUCAUAGUGAUCCGGUGGUUCUGAAUGGAAGGGCCAUCGCUCAACGGAUAAAAGGUACUCCGGGGAUAACAGGCUGAUACCGCCCAAGAGUUCAUAUCGACGGCG
rnacentral:rRNA from 1 species